rnacentral:pre_miRNA from 1 species
UAGAUACUCCCUCCGUCCGGAAAUACUUGUCAUCAAAAUGAAUAAAAAUGAAUGUAUCUAGAUGUAUUUUAGUUCUAAAUACAUAUUUUUUUUGUCCAUUUUGAUGACAAGUAUUUUCGGACGGAGGGAGUAGUAU